rnacentral:rRNA from 1 species
CUAAUAUUCCAAAAAAGCUAAUUUAACCAAUAUUUGGUCCUUUCGUACUAAAAUAUUUUAAAUAAAUGAAGAUACAAUCCAACCUGGCUCAC